GAUGAACGCUGGCGGCGUGCCUAAUACAUGCAAGUCGAGCGAAGCGGGGACGGGUGAGUAACACGUGGAUAACCUCCUAUAAGACUGGGAUAACUUCGGGAAAACGGAGCUAAACCGGAUAGUUCUCUAUUGAUCCGCGCUGCAUUAGCUAGUUGGUAAGUUAACGGCUUACCAAGGCAACGAUGCAUAGCCGACCUGAGAGGGUGAGCGGCCACACUGGAACUGAGACACGGUCCAGACUCCUACGGGAGGCAGCAGUAGGGAAUCUUCCGCAAUGGGCGAAAGCCUGACGGAGCCACGCCGCGUGAGUGAUGAAGGUCUUCGGAUCGUAAAGUACUGUUAGUAGGGAAGCGGUACCGACUCAGAAAGCCACGGCUAACUACGUGCCAGCAGCCGCGGUAAUUC
rnacentral:rRNA from 1 species